rnacentral:rRNA from 1 species
CGACGCCGCGUGCGGGAUGAAGGCCUUCGGGUUGUAAACCGCUGUCAGUUGGGAGGAAAUGCAUCAGGGUUAUCCCUGGUGUUUGACCGAUCUUCAGAGGAAGCGCAGGCUAAGUUCGUGCCAGCCACUGCGGUGACUGAGCGGGCUGGCAAGGCGCAUA